rnacentral:rRNA from 1 species
UACGGGGGGGGGCAAGCGUUGUUCGGAAUUACUGGGCGUAAAGGGCUCGUAGGCGGCCAACUAAGUCGGAUGUGAAAUCCCCAGGCUUAACCUGGGAACUGCAUCCGAUACUGGAUGGCUUGAAUCCGGGAGAGGGAUGCAGAAUUCCAGGUGUAGCGGUGAAAUGCGUAGAUAUCUGGAGGAACACCGGUGGUGUAAACGGCUUUCUGGACCAUAACUGACGCUGAGGCACGAAAGCGUGGGUAGCAAACAGG